UCUUUCAGGUAGCCAAGAUGAGGUAAGGAGCAUAAUGGAUCAGCACUUUUCCAUACUUGUUAAGACAGAACAAAGACAUUAUGAUUUAUAUUACUAUUACUGAUUAUCUCUUCUAAGAAAAAAGGAGCCAGGGGCCCAAGCGUCACAGAAGAGUGGACAUGGAACUUCACCACUGAAGCACAGCAUCACAUAGAGACAAGCCCCUGGAUGCCUGCGGGCUUACACCUGACAGUGUCAGGCCUCCUGCAAGAGCUUGGAGAAGCGGAAUUUUCUCCUAACUCCUCCGAGGAAGGAGAUGUCUUGGCUAUUUUGGACGUCCCCUUCCCUAGCUGGCUAAACAGCGGGCACUUUCCCAGCUCUGGCGCUACCGCACAGCUGAGGUGCCCUCCAGCAGACAGAGGGCAUAAAGCGUCUUGCC